GCAAUCUACCUUUUGCAGAGGGAUAGCCCAGAGAAAUUUGGAUUAAUACCUCAUAGUAUAUAGACCUGGCAUCAGGAUUAUAUUAAAGUCACAACGGCAAAAGAUGAGCAUGCGUCCCAUUAGCUAGUUGGUAAGGUAACGGCUUACCAAGGCUACGAUGGGUAGGGGUCCUGAGAGGGAGAUCC
rnacentral:rRNA from 1 species